UUCUUUUUCUUCUGUCUCUUGAUGAUUAGGCCAAAGGCUGGGAGUAGGGAGGGGAUUCAAUACUUAGGAGCAAAGAAAAAAGUAGCUUGGAACUUUUGAGAUGAUCCCUAACGUACUGAACUACUUGCUUUUACAAUGUGUUAGCAGAAACCAAUGGGGUGUAAAUGUAGACUGAUGUGCUUUCUGCCCAAGUGGUAAUUCACCUUGGUUUGCUUUGUUAAAACUGUAAAUACAACAGAACAUUAAUAAAUGUCUCUUGUGUAGCAAA